CAAAAGGGGAGAUUUUUGUCAGUGAUUUUCCGCCUUCAUUUGACUGAAUGACAAGAAACUUGGGGAACCAGGGACCUGGGGUAUGGUCAAGAAAAUUCUGCUGCAGUAGGUGUGUCGGCCACCACCGACCCCAACCAAGGGAACGAGCUCUGCACACUAACACAUCCUUCUACACUAUACCCAAGUGCAGCAUCAACGGAGAUUGAAAGAACUGCCCAAGGUUGACCCUUGCCGCCAAAGAAGGUCUACCCGUCUAUGGGAAGCAGGGGCCAAAGCAGUGUGUUGUUUUCCCGGAGGGGCCCCGAAGGGUCCAAACCAACCUCGAGUCCACUCAACUGCCAGGAUCCCCCUUUCCCCAGACACGGGAAAGCCACGCACAGCUAUACGUGCGGGUCUCCCUCCUGUGGCGACGCAACCGUGAAUGCAGGAGGGGGCUACAGCGGCUGGUGCCGGGUGAUGGGGGCGCCAAUUUCCCGACGCCGGGGAUUUUUUAUGUUUUGUGUAUUUAUGUUUUUGUUUAUGUUUUUGUUGUUUUUUUUAUUUAUAUAUUUGUGUGUUAUGUGUGUGUUUUAUGUUAUGUUAUGUAGCA